rnacentral:rRNA from 1 species
GAUGAACGCUAGCUACAGGCUUAACACAUGCAAGUCGAGGGGAAACGAUAGAGAAAGCUUGCUUUUUCUAGGCGUCGACCGGCGCACGGGUGAGUAACGCGUAUCCAACCUGCCCACCACUUGGGGAUAACCUUGCGAAAGUAAGACUAAUACCCAAUGACGUCUCUAGAAGACAUCUGAAAGAGAUUAAAGAUUUAUCGGUGAUGGAUGGGGAUGCGUCUGAUUAGCUUGUUGGCGGGGUAACGGCCCACCAAGGCGACGAUCAGUAGGGGUUCUGAGAGGAAGGUCCCCCACAUUGGAACUGAGACACGGUCCAAACUCCUACGGGAGGCAGCAGUGAGGAAUAUUGGUCAAUGGACGAGAGUCUGAACCAGCCAAGUAGCGUGCAGGAUGACGGCCCUAUGGGUUGUAAACUGCUUUUAUAAGGGAUAAAGUGGGAGUCGUGACUCUUUUUGCAUGUACCUUAUGAAUAAGGACCGGCUAAUUCCGU